rnacentral:rRNA from 1 species
CAGUCGUACUUACGGGUAAUCAGCCUUUUGGGUGUGAUUUUGUGGAGCGUGAGGAGUUAAACGCCUUCAUGCCUGCAUAUUCGUGCACUUUGGGUGUACUUGCUCGUGUGGUUGGUUAACAUCAAUUUCGGACGCCAUAAAAUGGCUGGAGGAAUGUAGCUUCGAUCUCGUAUUGAAGUGUUUAAGCCUUCGGUAGAUUGUGGUGAUCGAGAUUGAGGAUU